AUUGAACGCUGGCGGAAGGCCUAACACAUGCAAGUCGAGCGGAGCGGCGGACGGGUGAGUAAUGCAUAGGAAUCUGACUGGUAGUGGGGGCUAACGUCCGGAAACGGGCGCUAAUACCGCAUACUCUCAGAUUCGCAUAGGUAGGAUUAGCGAGUGGGGGGGGUAAAGGCCUACCAAGGCGACGAUCCGUAACUGGUCUGAGAGGAUGAUCAGUCACACUGGAACUGAGACACGGCCCAGACUCCUACGGGAGGCAGCAGUGGGGAAUAUUGGACCAGGGGCGAAAGCCUGAUCCAGCCAUGCCGCGUGUGCGAUGAAGGCCUUCGGGUUGUAAAGUACUUUUGGCAGGAAAGCGGUACCUGCAGAAUAAGCACCGGCUAACUACGUGCCAGCAGCCGCGGUAAUUC
rnacentral:rRNA from 1 species